rnacentral:rRNA from 1 species
GACGAACGCUGGCGGCAUGCCUAACACAUGCAAGUCGAACGGUAAGGCUGCCUUCGGGAAGUACACGAGUGGCGAACGGGUGAGUAACACGUGGGUAACCUACCCUUGACUGGGGGACAACUGAGGGAAACUUCGGCUAAUACCGCAUAACGUGAAUUGCCUCAAGGUGGGGUACCAAAGCUCCGGAGGUUAAGGAGGGGCCCGCGGUAGAUUAGCUGGUUGGUGAGGUAACGGCUUACAAAGGCGACGAUCUGUAGCUGGUCUGAGGGGACGAUCAGCCCAACUGGAACCGGGACACGGUCCAGAAUGCUACGGGAGGCAGCAGUGGGGAAACUUGCGCAAUGGGCGAAAGCCUGAAGCAGGAAUGCCGCGUGAGGGAAGACGGCCUUAGGGUUGUAAACCUCUUUCAGCAGGGACGAACACAGACGGUACCUGCAGAAAAAGCCCCGGCUAACUACGUGCCAGCCGCCGCAGUAA